AAAUAUUCAACUUUUAGUCCUAGUCGACGAGAGUUUUCCUGAAUUCAUGGAACUAUUGUCCUAAUUAAUAGAAAUUUGAGAUUCCAAACCUUUGAUUUGGUAAAGAAUCGAAAAACUAUGAUCUAGAAUGGCUUUAUUUCUAUUUAACGUUCAUGGAAAUAUCUAAAUUAUGUAAUAUAAUUAGAAAAUAUUUUGAAACCUAAAAAUGUUAGAACUUCAAGCAGAAACUAG
rnacentral:misc_RNA from 1 species